UAACAUAAGAACGGCUCUUUGUCGGCGCGAUAUAUUGGUAGUUUUCAGUCUCUUUCAUUGUCUUUUGUGAUGUUUAUUUAGUCUUAAGGCUUCUUCCACCAAUACCUUUUAAGUUUGAAGAAGGCACCAUUUGAGUGCCUGCUACGCCGGUGUGAGUGUGGGCGAAGGAGAGACCUGCUGGGCUUUCGCUGGACCUUUCCCUUCUGGCUGAAGAGACGGUCUUCUGGGCUACGUGGGAACUGGAGGGCAGGGACUCGUUCACCUGUUCUCAUGAAGCCAGCAGCGAUUCUCUCAAAAAUCCACCAGAGAGCAGGGCAACUCCAACUCCCGCACCUUGUAGGGGAUGGAAAUGGAUGGAGACAGUUACACUGCCAAAAACCUUGGCCUAACACCACAGAUUGCAGUUCCUUUCAAAGGUCAGCGCAUAUUUAAGUUUGCUUCAUUACUGCCACCUUUAUGCCUGAGAUUUUCAUUAAAAAAAAAAAAAAAUCAGU